AUUGUUAUUAACAUAAUUCUACAGAUAGUAAUCUUAUUCACAGAAAAUGUUUGUGUGAUGCAUAGUUUAAUGAAAGCAGAAACAUUUGUUUUCAUAUCGUCAAUGGGAUAACCAACCUUCAUAUUGUCUUUUUAAAAAUAGGACUUUAAUUAUCUCCCUUGAAAAUAAUGCUUUCCUAUUUCUGUUGCAUGCAAAAUUGGUUAAUGAUUUAAAGAAAAUUGCAUGGAGCUUAAAUAUAAAUAUUAGAAAAAAUUCGGUAGUCUUAAGUGAUUUAGAGGUAGGGAUUUUUCUUUGUAAAUUUGUAAUUGUAGAAGAUUCAUUAUGAAACAGCUCUGUAUAUUCAAAAUAUAUAUGUAUGUAUAUUUAAAAUAUACAUGUAAUAUAAGACAGGGUCAUAAAUGAGAAUGUAGUCACCCUAAAACACCUAUUUUACAGCAAUUUUUUCAACAACUGCAAGAGGUAUUUUAACUAGAUCAGAAUGUGUGAACUGUAGCUUAUUUUUACCUUAAACAAAUAUAGAAGUUAAUAUCACAUGUAUAUUUCACUUAAAUGUCAGAAUUAGCAGAAUGGAAUGGUGUAAAUUAACUGUCAAGCAGUGGAAUGAAUCAUAUAUAAUAAAUUUUUCAUUGUAUUUAAUACAUAACUGACGGAUUUCACAAGAUUUUACAUGUACUACUUGAAUUUCCUCCGAAAUUUCAAAAAUAUAAGAAAACUAGAGGCUCUAAAGAGCCAGUGUCGCUCACCUUGGUAUAUGUGAAUAUUAAACAAAAGAAGCAGAUAGAUUCAUGACAAAAUUGUGUUUUGGUGAUGGUGAUGUGUUUGUACAUCUUACUUUACUGAACAUUCUUGCUGCUUACAGUUAUCUCUAUCUAUAAUGAACUUGGCCCAGUAGUUUCAGUGGAAAAUGUUAGUAAAAAUUUACAAAUUUUAUAAAAAUUGUUAAAAAUUGACUAUAAAGGACAAUAACUCCUUAGGGGGUCAAUUGACCAUUUCAGUCAUGUUGACUUAUUUGUAAAUCUUACUUUGCUGUACAUUAUUGCUGUUUAAAGUUUAUCUCUAUCUAUAAUAAUAUUCAAGAUAAUAACCCAAAACAGUAAAAUUUCCUUAAAAUUACCAAUUUAGGGGCAGCAACCCAACAACGGGUUGUCCGAUUCAUCUGAAAAUCUCAGGGCAGAUAGAUUUUGACCUGAUAAACAAUUUUACCCAUGUCAGAUUUGCUCUAAAUGCUUUGGUUUAUGAGUUAUAAGCCAAAAACUGCAUUUUACCCCUAUGUUCUAUAUUUAGCCAUGGUGGCCAUCUUGGUUGGAUGGCCUGGUCACUGGACACAUUUUUUAAACUAGAUACCCCAAAAAUGAUUGUGGCCAAGUUUGGAUUAAUUUGGCCCAGUAGUUUCAGAGGAGAAGAUUUUUGGAAAAGAUUACUAAGAUUUACGAAAAAUGGUUAAAAAUUGACUAUAAAGGGCAAUAACUCCUAAAGGGGUCAACUGACCAUUUCGGUCAUGUUGACUUAUUUGUAGAUCUAACUUUGCUGUACAUUAUUGCUGUUUACAGUUUAUCUCUAUCUAUAAUAAUAUUCAAGAUAAUAACC
rnacentral:lncRNA from 1 species